rnacentral:rRNA from 1 species
ACAGCAGUAGCCGCGGUAAUACGAAGGGGGCUAGCGUUGCUCGGAAUCACUGGGCGUAAAGGGUGCGUAGGCGGGUCUUUAAGUCAGGGGUGAAAUCCUGGAGCUCAACUCCAGAACUGCCUUUGAUACUGAAGAUCUUGAGUUCGGGAGAGGUGAGUGGAACUGCGAGUGUAGAGGUGAAAUUCGUAGAUAUUCGCAAGAACACCAGUGGCGAAGGCGGCUCACUGGCCCGAUACUGACGCUGAGGCACGAAAGCGUGGGGAGCAAACAGGAUUAGAUACCCCUGUAGUCCCUGUCUCUUAUAC